AGAAUCAACGCUGGCGGCGUGCCUAACACAUGCAAGUCGAACGAGAAAGUGGAGCAAUCCAUGAGUAAAGUGGCGACCGGGUGAGUAACACGUGACUAACCUACCUUCGAGUGGGGGAUAACCUCGGGAAAACCGAGGCUAAUACCGCAUAACAUCGCAAGAUCAAAGCAGCAAUGCGCUGGAAGAGGGGGUCGCGGCUGAUUAGCUAGUUGGUGAGGUAACGGCCCACCAAGGCGACGACGGGUA
rnacentral:rRNA from 1 species